rnacentral:rRNA from 1 species
AUUGAACGCUGGCGGCAUGCUUUACACAUGCAAGUCGAACGGUAACAGGUCUUCGGAUGCUGACGAGUGGCGAACGGGUGAGUAAUACAUCGGAACGUGCCUAGUAGUGGGGGAUAACUACUCGAAAGAGUAGCUAAUACCGCAUGAGAUCUACGGAUGAAAGCAGGGGAUCUUCGGACCUUGCGCUAAUAGAUGAGCCUAAGUCGGAUUAGCUAGUUGGUGGGGUAAAGGCCUACCAAGGCGACGAUCUGUAGCGGGUCUGAGAGGAUGAUCCGCCACACUGGGACUGAGACACGGCCCAGACUCCUACGGGAGGCAGCAGUGGGGAAUAUUGGACAAUGGGCGCAAGCCUGAUCCAGCCAUGCCGCGUGUGUGAAGAAGGCCUUAUGGUUGUAAAGCACUUUAAGCGAGGAGGAGGCUACUCUAGUUAAUACCUAGGGAUAGUGGACGUUACUCGCAGAAUAAGCACCGGCUAACUCUGUGCCAGCAGCCGCGGUAAUACAGAGGGUGCAAGCGUUAAUCGGAUUUACUGGGCGUAAAGCGCGCGUAGGCGGCUAAUUAAGUCAAAUGUGAAAUCCCCGAGCUUAACUUGGGAAUUGCAUUCGAUACUGGUUAGCUAGAGUGUGGGAGAGGAUGGUAGAAUUCCAGGUGUAGCGGUGAAAUGCGUAGAGAUCUGGAGGAAUACCGAUGGCGAAGGCAGCCAUCUGGCCUAACACUGACGCUGAGGUGCGAAAGCAUGGGGAGCAAACAGGAUUAGAUACCCUGGUAGUCCAUGCCGUAAACGAUGUCUACUAGCCGUUGGGGCCUUUGAGGCUUUAGUGGCGCAGCUAACGCGAUAAGUAGACCGCCUGGGGAGUACGGUCGCAAGACUAAAACUCAAAUGAAUUGACGGGGGCCCGCACAAGCGGUGGAGCAUGUGGUUUAAUUCGAUGCAACGCGAAGAACCUUACCUGGCCUUGACAUAGUAGAACUUUCCAGAGAUGGAUUGGUGCCUUCGGGAACUUACAUACAGGUGCUGCAUGGCUGUCGUCAGCUCGUGUCGUGAGAUGUUGGGUUAAGUCCCGCAACGAGCGCAACCCUUUUCCUUAUUUGCCAGCGAGUAAUGUCGGGAACUUUAAGGAUACUGCCAGUGACAAACUGGAGGAAGGCGGGGACGACGUCAAGUCAUCAUGGCCCUUACGGCCAGGGCUACACACGUGCUACAAUGGUCGGUACAAAGGGUUGCUACCUAGCGAUAGGAUGCUAAUCUCAAAAAGCCGAUCGUAGUCCGGAUUGGAGUCUGCAACUCGACUCCAUGAAGUCGGAAUCGCUAGUAAUCGCGGAUCAGAAUGCCGCGGUGAAUACGUUCCCGGGCCUUGUACACACCGCCCGUCACACCAUGGGAGUUUGUUGCACCAGAAGUAGGUAGUCUAACCGCAAGGAGGACGCUUACCACGGUGUGGCCGAUGACUGGGGUG